UACAGAGGUCUCAAGCGUUGUUCGGAUUCAUUGGGCGUAAAGGGUGUGUAGGUGGCGCCGUAAGUCGGGUGUGAAAUUCCGGAGCUUAACUCCGAAACUGCAUUCGAUACUGCGGUGCUUGAGGACUGGAGAGGAGACUGGAAUUUACGGUGUAGCAGUGAAAUGCGUAGAUAUCGGGAGGAAUCACCGGGUGGCGAAGGCGGCCCCC
rnacentral:rRNA from 1 species